rnacentral:rRNA from 1 species
UGGGGAAUAUUGCUNANUGGGGGGAACCCUGACGCAGCCAUGCCGCGUGAAUGAAGAAGGCCUUCGGGUUGUAAAGUUCUUUCGGUAUUGAGGAAGGUUGAUGUGUUAAUAGCACAUCAAAUUGACGUUAAAUACAGAAGAAGCACCGGCUAACUCCGUGCCAGCAGCCGCGGUAAUACGGAGGGUGCGAGCGUUAAUCGGAAUAACUGGGCGUAAAGGGCACGCAGGCGGUUAUUUAAGUGAGGUGUGAAAGCCCCGGGCUUAACCUGGGAAUUGCAUUUCAGACUGGGUAACUAGAGUACUUUAGGGAGGGGUAGAAUUCCACGUGUAGCGGUGAAAUGCGUAGAGAUGUGGAGGAAUACCGAAGGCGAAGGCAGCCCCUUGGGAAUGUACUGACGCUCAUGUGCGAAAGCGUGGGGAGCAAACAGGAUUAGAUACCCUGGCAGUCCACGCUGUAAACGCUGUCGAUUUGGGGGUUGGGGUUUAACUCUGGCGCCCGUAGCUAACGUGAUAAAUCGACCGCCUGGGGAGUACGGCCGCAAGGUUUA